AACGCUGGCGGCGCGCUUAACACAUGCAAGUCGAGCGAGAACCAGGACUUCGGUCCUGGGGACAGCGGCGAACGGGUGAGUAACACGUGGGUAAUCUGCCCUCGGUUCCGGGAUAGCCCGGGGAAACUCGGAUUAAUACCGGAUAGCCUCACGAACCUUCGGGGGAGUGAGAAAAGGUAGCUUUGGCCUCUGACCGAGGAUGAGCCCGCGGUGGAUUAGCUUGUUGGCGGGUAAUGGCCCACCAAGGCGA
rnacentral:rRNA from 1 species